GGAACAUAGAGGAACCACUCUUUGUAGAAGAGCUUAUUUCAAAGAAGAAAAGAGAAAGUGAAGAAUUGGAGCACAAAGGAAUGCUUGAAAUGCAGUUUGUUAUUUGGGAAAUAGAGUUGAACCUGACAAGGAUUCUAGAAACAGAUGGAGGAACAGCUAAGUCUACUGUCUGAGAUCAUGUAGCAGGAGUCAAGCCCAGG